UUACCCGGCUGGGACUUAAGCAUAUCAAUUAAGCGGAGGAAAAGAAACUAACAAGGAAUUCCCCUAGUAACUGCGAGUGAAAGCGGGAAAAAGCUCAAAUUUAAAAUCUGGCGGUCUUCUGGCCGUCCGAGUUGUAGUCUGGAGAAGCGUUUUCCGCGUUGGACCGUGUACAAGUUUCCUGGAACGGAGCGUCAUAGAGGGUGAGAAUCCCGUCUUUGACACGGAUCCCAAUGCUUUGUGAUGCGCUCUCAAAGAGUCGAGUUGUUUGGGAAUGCAGCUCAAAAUGGGUGGUGAAUUCCAUCUAAAGCUAAAUAUUGGCGAGAGACCGAUAGCGAACAAGUACCGUGAGGGAAAGAUGAAAAGCACUUUGGAAAGAGAGUUAAACAGUACGUGAAAUUGUUGAAAGGGAAACGCUUGAAGUCAGUCGCGUCGGCCGGGACUCAGCCUUGCAUCCGCUUGGUGUACUUUCCGGUCGACGGGCCAGCAUCAGUUUUGACCGCGAGAUAAAGGCGGAGGGAAUGUGGCUCUCUCGGGAGUGUUAUAGCCCUUCGUCAGAUGUCGCGGUUGGGACUGAGGAACUCAGCACGCCUUUAUGGCCGGGGCUCGCCCACGUACGUGCUUAGGAUGCUGGCGUAAUGGCUUUAAACGACCCGUCUUGAAACACGGACCAAGGAGUCUAACAUGCCUGCGAGUGUUCGGGUGGAAAACCCGUGCGCGCAAUGAAAGUGAAAGUUGGGAUCCCUGUCGUGGGGUGCACCGACGCCCGGCCCAGACCUUUUUGUGACGGAGCUGCGGUAGAGCAUGUAUGUUGGGACCCGAAAGAUGGUGAACUAUGCCCUGAAUAGGGUGAAGCCAGAGGAAACUCUGGUGGAGGCUCGUAGCGAUUCUGACGUGCAAAUCGAUCGUCAAAUUUGGGUAUAGGGGGUGAAAGACUAAUUCGAAACCAUCUAGUAGCUGGGUUCCUGCCGAAGUCCUCCUCUCUCAGGGAA
rnacentral:rRNA from 1 species